ACGCGCGCGCGGGGGGGCGGGACAGAUGACAUUGUCGUCGAUGCGAUCUGCCCGGGAAAACGACAUGGCAUGGGCGGGCGCGAAAGGCGUGGCGGCGGCGGUGUCGGUCCGUCCGUUCACGGCUCACAUGACGCUGCACCCGACCGUGUUGUCGUCGUUGAAGAAGUCCUCGUCGAAGCGGGACGGCUGCGGCCGGACCUGCGGGUGGUGCCGCUGGGCCACCCCCACCCCCAUCGCCAUCGCCACGGGCACCGGCGGCGGCAUGCCGUAGUAGCCGUAGUACGGCACCGCCGCGGCCGGCGGCGCGUAGUACGCCGGCACGUGCACCGGCACCACCGUCGGCGGCUCCGCGCGGUGGUAGUGCUGCUGCACCUGCGCCUGCGCGUGGCGGUGAUCGGCGGCCACCGCCACGGGCGGCUUGGUGUCGAACUCGUCGGCGUCGCCGCCUUCCUCGCCUGUCCAGCCGGCGGUGCCGUCCUUGGGCGACGGCGCCUUCUUCCCGCUGCCGCGGUCGCCAUCGACACCGCCACCGCCCUCGGCGCGCGAGGCCGCCUCGCCGGCGCACUUCUUGCAUCCCUCCUGCUCGCUCGGCGCCGCCGCCGCCGCCGCCUUGUCACCGGCGUCGCCCUUGCCCUUGCGCUUCUCCUCCACCUGCGCCUGCGCCGCCCUGUCGCCGUCGUCCCGCUUCUUGCAUUGUUCGAAAGCCGCCGGCGCCGGAGGCAGCGGCUCGGCGAUCUUGCCGACCCUGGCCAGCUUCUUCACGAGGACCUUGACGUCCACGUCGCCAACGACGGUCACCCGGUCGUGCGACGGCUGGAUCUCCGUCCGCAGCACGCCUGCACGCCCAUUGACGCGCGCACACGUACGUAUGUCAGCACCAGGCUUGUCUCACUCAGCGAAAGAGCAAAGCAGAGCAGAGCAGAGCACCAGGCUUGUAAUCCUGGGCCGGUAGAGAGCGAAGAAGAAGGAUGGUGACCUUUGAGGCUCAUCGCCUUCAUCACCUUCCUCCUGCAGCCGUCGCAGCAGCUCACGUUCACCUUCAGGUCAAUCCUCUGCACGGAACGGCACGAUGUCAGUACUCAGUAGUAGUCCAUCAAUACUUCAAUAGCAGGCAAUACGAGCAUGCCCCCGCCGGCCGAGCAAGGUAAGCUUUGGUACGAACCUUGAGCUCUUCUUCCCUAGCCAUGGCGAUGAUGGCUACGGCGCUGGAGCUCGCCGGAGAGACUGGCUCUGCGUGGGAGCUGGCUGCUGGCUGCUGACCAGCUGACUGCUGCUGCUGAGUGUGUGUGUGAUGCCUAUCGCCCGUUGCUGCCGUCCAUUUAUAUAUACGGCCACAUAGGCAGCUUUAUUAGCAAACUGAUGGACCAUUAGAUACCCAAACGUCCACGGUCCGUUGCUCGAUUCCGAGCUGUGUGCAGUUACGUUAUUUUAAUCACACUAGCUUAAGGGAGAAGAGGUAUAUAGUGGGACAACUCAAACUCGUGUACUCGAAGACUUGCAGUUGUGGUUGCAACCUCUCUCUGCUUGCGCCAGCAUCAUGGAUUCGUAGGUUGUUAUGUGAUGAUGUGUUCUUUGGCCACUAAAAAAAUGAUACUCCAACAAACAAGAGCUCUAAGAAUGAUACAGAGGGAAUGUUCUUUCCUGAAUCCGUACAUGCUCUUCUCAAAUGAAAAGGAAAAAAAAACACCUCCAUUCUAAAUUAUAAGAUGUUUAGUUUUUC
rnacentral:misc_RNA from 1 species